CAGUGCCGCGGGAACACGUAGGUGGCAAGCGUUGUCCGGAAUUAUUGGGCGUAAAGCGCGCGCAGGCGGUUUCUUAAGUCUGAUGUGAAAGCCCCCGGCUUAACCGGGGAGGGUCAUUGGAAACUGGGAGACUUAGAGUGCAGAAGAGGAGAGUGGAAUUCCAUGUGUAGCGGUGAAAUGCGUAGAUAUAUGGAGGAACACCGGUGGCGAAAGCGGCUCUCUGGCUUGUAACUGACGCUGAGGCUCGAAAGCGUGGGGAGCAAACAGGAUUAGAUACCCGAGUAGUCCCUGUCUCUUAUAC
rnacentral:rRNA from 1 species